rnacentral:lncRNA from 1 species
UGACUGUUGUAUAUAAGGAAGUUAUAUUAUGGAUUCAAAUUAUUUGAAUUAAUUAAUAAUUGUGCACCUUGCAAACAUUUUCUCAAUUUUGUCAUAUAUAUGGAAGUUUGAUUAUAGUGUCUACAAAAUUAAGGUAAGUUUAGUAUAUAAUUGGAGCGCAAGUUAUGCAAAAUUAAAUAGGUAAUAUCAGUAUUAAUUACGGCAAAUUGAUUUUGUUUCAUUAACCCUACAUGUUUGACUUCUUAAUAUAAAUAUAUGUUGUCUACAAUUCAUCGACGUCUAUUUAUCUAAACAUUCUCU